rnacentral:rRNA from 1 species
GACGAACGCUGGCGGCGUGCUUAACACAUGCAAGUCGAACGGUAAGGCCCUUCGGGGUACACGAGUGGCGAACGGGUGAGUAACACGUGGGUGAUCUGCCCUGCACUUCGGGAUAAGCCUGGGAAACUGGGUCUAAUACCGGAUAGGACCACUGCCUGCAUGGGGGGUGGUGGAAAGCUUUUGCGGGGUGGGAUGGGCCCGCGGCCUAUCAGCUUGUUGGUGGGGUGAUGGCCUACCAAGGCGACGACGGGUAGCCGGCCUGAGAGGGUGACCGGCCACACUGGGACUGAGAUACGGCCCAGACUCCUACGGGAGGCAGCAGUGGGGAAUAUUGCACAAUGGGCGCAAGCCUGAUGCAGCGACGCCGCGUGAGGGAUGACGGCCUUCGGGUUGUAAACCUCUUUCAGCACCGACGAAGCGCAAGUGACGGUAGGUGCAGAAGAAGGACCGGCCAACUACGUGCCAGCAGCCGCCUAA